UGCCCAGGCAGGGUCUGGCAACAGCCUGGGGAGAUGGUCAGGCUCAGCCUCUGCUGCCCAGGCAGGAUCUGGCAACAGCCUGGAGAGAUUUCCACAGCUGGCUUCCAAGGUGUUAAGGCAAGUCUGAGCCUGGAGGGUAAAUCUUUCUGUAACACAGGCAUCAGCUGUGCCUGGGAGUCUCUGUAUCCAUUUUCCUGUUUGGCCUUUUCCACUGGGGACUGGAGGGCUUCAAACCACAGGCUGCUUUUUAUUCGUUACAACGUGUUGGGGACAGUAGUGUGUCUGUGCUUCCCACAGUGUCCUAUCCCUCUGUUUUGUGGUGGUAGAAAGGACAAAAGCUAAUGUGCAGCUGUGGGGGGAUAGAAUAAAAGAAAAUAAAGACAGUGCAGAAUGUAAUCUCACCCCUAAGAGUUGCAGCUGGGCCAAUUACCAAAUAUUAGGGACAGGCCUGACUGUAACAGGCCACAGCUGUGACCAGUGAGAAGAAGAGUGCUGUAAAAGAGUGGGUUGGCUGGUUGAGGAGGUGCUGGAGUCAGUUGGCUGCUAUGAAGAAGGAAGAGUCAGUGCUCUGAAAAGCUGCCCAUGAAACCACACCAGGAAGGUGUGAUAAGGAGACAACAGUAUGGAACUUUUGCAAUAAUAUGACAACAAUUGGUGAUCCUGAUGGGAUUUUGGGAAAAAGGAUUGAAUACUAAGCUAUAUGACCCUGUGGAUUCGGAAAAAUACUAAACUAUAGACCCCAUGGAUUCGGGAAAAAGGACCUAAAUAUUAAACUAUAUGACCCUGUGGUGAUUUGGAAAAAGGACUUAAGUAUCAAUCCUGUGGUGAUUCAAGAAACAAGACUUAAAUUUUAAGCAAUGUGAUCCCAUGGCUAGUUGAGAAAGAGAACUGCAUGAGGAAAAGCAACAAAACUGAAAGAAGAAUGGGAGAAUUGACUAAAGUAAGAAGUGGAAAAAGACUAGUUCUACUAUUCAGUACAUUGUGUUUAUUGAUUAGUGAAACAUCUCAAUUGCAGCUAUUAAUGUUUGGUAAGCAUGAGUAUAAAAGAUUUUGAAGAUAAAUACUUUGUGAACUGAGAAAAAGCUGCGAAACUGAACAAACACUUAGAAAUAUAGAUAUUCUUACUCAAAUAUGUUGUCUGAACAUUUGUAUAACUAUUAGUUCUAAAUGAAAUAUAUGAAUGUGUCGUAAUGUUAAUUUACUUGAACAAGUCUUUCUAGAAAACCUCUAAUUAAAAGAAAAAGGGGGAAUUGUGGGGGGAUAGCAUAUAAGAAAAUAAAGAUAGUGCAGAAAGUAAUCUCACCCCUCAGGAGUUGCAGCUGGGCCGAUUACUGAAUAUUAGGAACAGGCCUGACUGUAACAGGCCACAGCUGUGACCAAUGAGAAGAAAAGUGCUGUAAAAGAGUGGGCUGGCUGGCUGAGGAGGAACUGGAGUCAGUUGGCUGCUAUGAAGAAGGGAGAGCUGCCCACGAAACCACACCAGAAAGAUUCUUCCUUGGGUAGUUUGGUUUGCCAUCCUACUGUUCCUAAAGUUUUAGAUCCCUAGAAUGAAGUAAUUUCUGCUGGGUAGAGCUGAAGCUGAAGAUGCCCCCAACACCAGGUUUUCACAAACACAGAAACUCUCUUAUUUCACUGAACUCUGCAUGUCAGGGUGAGACAGAAGGAUGUGACAGGGUUGAACUUCAGUGAAAUAACCCUGGAGCAGGAGGAGCAAAGAUGG